GACGUAGGGGGCAAGCGUUGUUCGGAAUUAUUGGGCGUAAAGCGCUCGUAGGCGGGACUGGAAGUCCGUGUUGAAAGACCUCGGCUCAACUGAGGGACCGGCUCGGAUACUCUAGUUCUUGAGGCAAUCAGAGGGUGAUGGAAUUCCCGGUGUAGCGGUGAAAUGCGUAGAUAUCAGGAGGAACACCUGUGGUGUAGACAGCUUACUGGACCAUUUCUGACGCUGAGACACGAAAGCGUGGGUAGCAAACAGG
rnacentral:rRNA from 1 species